GACGAACGCUGGCGGCGUGCUUAACACAUGCAAGUCGAACGGUGAAGCCUUCGGGUGGAUCAGUGGCGAACGGGUGAGUAACACGUGAGCAAUCUGCCCUUGACUCUGGGAUAACUUCGGGAAACCGGAGCUAAUACCGGAUAUGACAUCUGGCCGCAUGGUCUGGGUGUGGAAAGAUUUAUCGGUCAAGGAUGAGCUCGCGGCCUAUCAGCUUGUUGGUGGGGAAUGGCCACCAAGGCGACGACGGGUAGCCGGCCUGAGAGGGCGACCGGCCACACUGGGACUGAGACACGGCCCAGACUCCUACGGGAGGCAGCAGUGGGGAAUAUUGCGCAAUGGGCGGAAGCCUGACGCAGCGACGCCGCGUGAGGGAUGAAGGCC
rnacentral:rRNA from 1 species